UACGUAGGUGGCGAGCGUUAUCCGGAAUUAUUGGGCGUAAAGAAUGCGUAGGUGGACUCUUAAGUCAGAUGUGAAAUCCCCGAGCUUAACUUGGGAACCGCAUUUGAAACUGGGAGCCUGGAGUGCAGGAGAGGUAAGUGGAAUUCCUAGUGUAGCGGUGAAAUGCGUAGAUAUUAGGAAGAACAUCGGUGGCGAAGGCGACUUACUGGACUGUUACUGACACUGAGGCAUGAAAGCGUGGGGAGCAAACAGG
rnacentral:rRNA from 1 species